CCUACGGGAGGCAGCAGUGGGGAAUCUUGGACAAUGGUCGCAAGCCUGAUCCAGCUAUUCCGCGUGUGGGAUGACGGCCCUCGGUUUGUAAACCACCUUAGGACAGAACGCAAAGGAGCUAUCGAGUCAAUGGCUCUGCUGACGGUACUCUAAGACUAAGCCCCGGCUAACUACGUGCCAGCAGCCGCGGGACUACGUAGGGUUCUAGCGUUAAUCGGAAUUGCUGGGCGUAAAGGGGGUGCAGGCGGCUGAGUAAGACCGAGGUGAAAUCGCCGGGCGUAACCUGGGAACCGCAGAUGUAACUGGUUGGCUAGAGUGCGUGAGAGGGAGGUGGAAUUCCACGUGUAGCAGUGAAAUGCGUAGAUAUGUGGAAGAACACCGAUGGCGAAGGCAGCAUGCUGGGACGAAACUGACGCUCAGACACGAAAGCGUGGGUAUCAAACAGGAUUAGAUACCCUAGUAGUC
rnacentral:rRNA from 1 species